CCUACGGGAGGCAGCAGUGAGGAAUAUUGGUCAAUGGGCGCGAGCCUGAACCAGCCAAGUCGCGUGAAGGAUGACGGCCCUACGGGUUGUAAACUUCUUUUAUCAAGGAAUAAAGUGAGCCACGUGUGGCUUUUUGUAUGUUACCUAUGAAUAAGGAUCGGCUAACUCCGUGCCAGCAGCCGCGGUAAUACGGAGGAUCCGAGCGUUAUCCGGAUUUAUUGGGUUUAAAGGGAGCGUAGGUGGGUUGUUAAGUCAGUUGUGAAAGUUUGCGGCUCAACCGUAAAAUUGCAGUUGAAACUGGCAGUCUUGAGUACAGUUGAGGUAGGCGGAAUUCGUGGUGUAGCGGUGAAAUGCUUAGAUAUCACGAAGAACUCCGAUUGCGAAGGCAGCUUACUAAACUGCAACUGACACUGAUGCUCGAAAGUGUGGGUAUCAAACAGGAUUAGAUACCCCUGUAGUC
rnacentral:rRNA from 1 species